rnacentral:rRNA from 1 species
GCUCUAAUAGCGUAUAUUAAAGUUGUUGCAGUUAAAAAGCUCGUAGUUGGAUUGGGGGCGAUCGUUCGGGCAGCUCUUGUUGUACUGUUUGGUCGCCUCUUUCUUCCGUGUGACCAUGGGCAUUCACUUGUCUGUGUAAUUGCGCGGAUCGUUUACUGUGAAAAAAUUAGAGUGUUCAAGGCAGGCGUUGCUUGAAUACA